ensembl:lncRNA
ACGGCUGCCCCGUAGCCCCAUUGCCCCGCAGGUGUCAGCAGCCCGUGAGGGGGUUCCUAUUGGCUGCCCUAUAGCUGCCCUAUGGGGUCCCCCAUGCAGUACCCUAUGGGGUCCCCCUGUGGGUUGCCCUAUGGCUGCCCUAUGUGUGCCCUAUGGCUGCCCCAUAGCCCCAUUGCCCCGCAGGUGUCGGCAGCGCGUGAGGAGGUUCCUAUUGGCUGCCCUAUAGCCACCCUAUGGCUGCCCUAUGUGUGCCCUAUGUGUGCCCUAUGGCUGCCCUAUGACUGCCCUAUGGCUGCCCUAUGGGGUCCCCCAUGCUGUGCCCUAUGGGGUGCCCUAUGUGUGCCCUAUGGGUGCCCUAUGGUGUCCUCCAUGCUGUACCCUAUGGGGUCCUCCUAUGACUGCCCUAUGUGUGCCCUAUGGCUGCCCUAUGGGGUCCCCCAUGCUGUGCCCUAUGGCUGCCCUAUGUGGUCCCCUAUGGCUGCCCUAUGGCUGCCCUAUGGGGUCCCCCAUGCUGUGCCCUAUGGCUGCCCUAUGUGUGCCCUAUGGCUGCCCUGUGUGUUGCCCUAUGGGGUCCGCCAUGCAGUGCCCCAUUGGGACCCCCUAUGUGUGCCCUAUGAUUGCCCUAUGGCUGCCCUAUGGGGUCCCCCAUGCAGUACCCUAUGGGGUCCCCCUGUGGGUUGCCCCAUAGCUGCCCCAUAGCCCCAUUGCCCCACAGGUGUCGGCAGCCCGUGAGGAGGUUCCUAUUGGCUGCCCUAUAGCUGCCCUAUGGG